rnacentral:lncRNA from 1 species
AGUAGCAGCAGUCCCACCAGCCCUGGUUGUGGACCACACAGAGCUGGGUCUGAGGCUCAGCUUCACAAGCUGUGUAUGGUAGGUCCAUGGUCCUUUUUCUUGGCCUCAGGGCCCAUGUCGGUAACACAAGGGUUCAUAAAGACAGGGGCCAUUGUGUCAGAUGCUUUUCUAAGUGCUACAGAUGCUUACUCAUUUAAUCCUCACAACAAUAAUAGGUCCUAGUAGGUAGGAACUAUUAUUAUCCCUAUUUUACAGGUGAGAAAAUGAAGGCACAGAGAGAUUGAGUAACUUGCACAAGGUCACAUGUAGGAGAACUGAGCAUCCACCCUACUCAGCCUGGCCCCAAGGUCCAAGGUAACUUAAACCCAAUUAUAAAUGGCUUUGGCUAUAAAGUGUUCUUGAAUGAAAACGUUUAGGAAGUAGGCCUGGAUUCAGAUGCUUCAGAGGCUCAAAGGUUUUCUAAUUGUUUAUGGAGAAGAUUGAUCUUCACAAGCUAGUUUUUUCAUAGGCAAAAGCAAAAGUCUCUUCCUGUGUUAUUAAGUGAAAAUGGCUGAUUAUAAAAAGGGGCUUACAAACAAUAUUUAACAAAUCUUCAUCAAGUCCCUACUCUGUGGCAGGCCCUGGGUCAGGAGGUUGCCGAUUCCAGGAAGAAUCAGACCUUAUCCCUGCCCUUGAGUCUCAAGAAGAGGAAAGGAAAACAAAUAAGCAUAGUACAGUGUGAAAAGUGGGACUGUGGUCAAAUUUCAGUCUGCAAACUCAGAAUGGAUGAAAUAUGAAAGACUGACAACAUCAAGUUGUCAAGUAGGACAGGAUGUGGAACCACUGGAACUCAUACGUGACUGAUGGGAAUGCAAAAUGAUACCGAUCCCUUGGAAAACUCCUUGGCAACUUUAAUAAACAUAAAUCUACCCUAUGAUCCAGAAAUUCCACUCUGAGUCACGUCUCCAAGAGCAAUGAAAAUAUAUACCCACAAAAGACUGCACAUAAAUCAGAACAGCAUUGUUGAUAAUAGCCCAAACUGGAAACAACCUAAAUAUUCACCAAUAGAAGCCUGAAUAAAUUCAUACUGUGGGAUACUCUACAGCAAUGAGGUAGAUGAACUAUUACUGCCUACAACAACAUGAAAGAAAGUAAAAGUCACUACUUUGAUAAUUAUAAACACAAAAAAGUAAACAUAUCAUUCUAUUCAUAUGAAGAGUUAUCUAAAUAAUUAGUAAAAUUGAUCUAUGAUUUUAGAAGUGGUACCUCUGGAGGAGAAGGAGGGGUACUGUUACUGACUGAGAAGGGAGUUCUGGAAAAAUUCUAUACUUUGAUCUUUGGGAUGGUUACACAGAUGUAUAGACAGGCAAAAAUUCAUUGAACUUUACAUUUAUUAUUUGUACAUUUUACCAUAUGCAAAUUGUCCCUCAAUUUAAAAAAUCUCAUUUUCCUUAAAAAAACACAGAGGCAAACAUUUCAAAAACAAUAUCUCACCUUAGAUGAGAUAUAGAGGCAAGCAGGCAGCCCCACUAUGAGAGCCUGGAAAAGGCAUUAGACACACUGUGUGUGGGGUGCAGUAGGGACAGAGAGACACUCAAGGAGGGUUUCUUGUGGGAGGUGACAGCUAAACAUUGAAGGACCUGUACUGAAAGUCAAACAAAGAGAAGGCUAAGGGCAUUCCAGGCUCAAGGAAACAGCAUGCAAGGGCACUCACAGCAUCCCAAGAGAAGUUGACUGAGAGAAGGAGGGUGUGGGGAAGGGACAAAACGACGAAGCCACAGAUGUCAAUGGGAGUCAGAUCUGACAGCUCACAAGCCAAAGGGAGGCCCAAGGGAGGCCCCGCAGAGUUGUGAUUGGAGUUGGACUUUAAGGAGGCCACUCUGGAGGAAGGGAGGAAGGUGGUUUAGAGGUGGUUGCAGUAAUCCACAGAUGGGGUAUGGGGCCUGAACUAGCGCAGCGGCCAUGGGGAUUGGGGCUGGGAGAAGAGCUUCCAGAGAUACUUAGGAGGAAGACUUUGGUAACCAGCAGUAUAGCGGGACAGGAGAGGAAAUCGUUAAGGAAACUCAUGGGUUCUUGCCUUUCAUGGCAAGGUGGAGCUAUUUACUGAGAAAAAGAUAGGAAGAGCUACAUUUAUUUAUUUAUUUAUUAUA